CGUGGGUGAAGCGGACGUGGAAGGCGGCAAGCUUCUCCAGCAGCACCUUCAGCUUGGCCACGGGCGGCAAGAUCGUCAUCCUGUUCACGAGGAAAGCCUUGGCGAGUAUUCAGGAGGGGCCUGCCAUGGUGUUGAAGCUGCUGCUGCUGCUGCUGUUUCCGCUGCUGCUGUGUGUAAUCCGGAUUAAGCAACUGGCAGAGUGCUUCACCUGAAGUGGUGCGUCUCCUCCUUCUGGCCAAAGCCGCUGCCGGGCACGAGGCAAAUCCCCGUCUCCUCCAGCAGCCGCAUGCAGUAGAACAUGUCCGGAGCCACGCCAGCAGCCUACGCCACCACCA